rnacentral:ribozyme from 1 species
UUUUUUUUUUUUUUUUUUUUUUUUUUUUUUUUUUUUUUUUCGUUCCC